UUGUUGGGAAAAUUUAAUUCCAUAAAUAGAUCUACAAUCUAUUGCUUAUAAUUCAGCCACCAAACA
rnacentral:tRNA from 1 species